rnacentral:rRNA from 1 species
AUUGAACGCUGGCGGCAUGCCUUACACAUGCAAGUCGAACGGCAGCACGGGAGCAAUCCUGGUGGCGAGUGGCGAACGGGUGAGUAAUAUAUCGGAACGUGCCCAGUAGUGGGGGAUGACUGCUCGAAAGAGCAGCUAAUACCGCAUACGACCUGAGGGUGAAAGGGGGGGAUCGGAAGACCUCUCGCUAUUGGAGCGGCCGAUAUCAGGUUAGCUAGUUGGGGGGGUAAAGGCCUACCAAGGCAACGAUCUGUAGUUGGUCUGAGAGGACGACCAGCCACACUGGGACUGAGACACGGCCCAGACUCCUACGGGAGGCAGCAGUGGGGAAUUUUGGACAAUGGGCGCAAGCCUGAUCCAGCAAUGCCGCGUGCAGGAAGAAGGCCUUCGGGUUGUAAACUGCUUUUGUCAGGGAAGAAAUCCUCUAGGUUAAUACCCUUGGGGGGAUGACGGUACCUGAAGAAUAAGCACCGGCUAACUACGUGCCAGCCGCCGCCGUAAUAC